rnacentral:lncRNA from 1 species
AGAAACACAGCCCGUCUCCCCAGAAGGUGCAGCCUGUCAUUUCAAAUGCUCACCAUGAUCAUCGUGGCUACUGUGUUGAAAAAUUAUGGAAAAGAACAAAAGCAGAAGAGGGAAACCAGUUACAGGCUAUUGCAGUGGUUCAGGCAGGAGAAGGAGGUGCGUGGAGCCGGGCAGCAGCUAUGCAGAUGGUUCGAAGUAGUCAUAUUCUGGAUAAAUUUUGAAGGCAGAGGUGAUAAGAUUUGCUGAUGAAGUGGAUGUGGCACUCGAGAGAAGCGAAGUACUAAAGAUGACACCUUGAUUCUGGACCAGAGCAACUGGAGGAGUGGUGGUGCCAUUUACUGAGAUGGAAAAAUCUGGAGGAGAAGACAGUUG